CCACAUUCAGCUGUUUACUGCUAUUGGAUCAGAUUACCUUCGCACAACACUGCUUUUCAUUCAAGUCUAUGUUGAUGGUCCUCUACCAUAAAACCCAUAUCCAACAUAUAAAAUAACCACUUCAGAAUCUGUUAAACAACUUUUUCCCAAUUUACAUUAGCAGAUGGGCAUGAGUUUGUCAAUGUAAGGAUGUUUUUAGUUCUCAGAAAGGAAAAGAUUUCAUUUUCAGCUUUGGCAGAUGUUUGAUGCUGACCUGAUAUGGAAACAAGUACAAUAGUGCAUCUACACUUGCCUGAGAAUGCUGAUAUAAAUGAAACUACUUUUUCCAUAAUCAUUAUUGCUAUGCACAUUCAAUAAAACCAUGGUCACGUUGGAGAUUUUGCAUACAAAUGUAUGUUUGAACAUGUAUAAGCAUACACUGGCCGAUAUAUCUUCCCUCCUUCGUGAAGUGAAUGUUAUCGCCCGUGCGAGGGAAGGUAAGAGUACACGCGGUGGGGACUGCUAGCGGGCAGUCAUCUGCAAUUGCUACCCGGACAUUAUCAGGGUAAAGAUCACAGGCACUGUUGACUAGCCUGGCAAUAAAAUAUCUUCUUCACCCGACCAACUUGCUGUAGGGUCUGAGAGCUGAGGUGACACGACUUCUAUUGCGAUCCUUGGCAACAACACUAGUCUGAUCAAUGGUAUUGCAGGGUAUGCUACAGAUUCAUUUGUGGCAGGACUAGAUGCAACCCAGCAUUCAGCCUCAGGGAGUGAAGAAGUGACCGAGGAAAUAACUCAAAACGUGCGAG